UACAGAGGUCUCAAGCGUUGUUCGGAUUCAUUGGGCGUAAAGGGUGCGUAGGCGGCGCGGUAAGUCGGGUGUGAAAUCUUGGAGCUUAACUCCGAAACUGCAUUCGAUACUGCCGUGCUUGAGGACUGGAGAGGAGACUGGAAUUUACGGUGUAGCGGUGAAAUGCGUAGAUAUCAGGAGGAACACCGAUGGCGAAGGCAGGUCUCUGGGCCGAUACUGACGCUGAGGAGCGAAAGCGUGGGGAGCGAACAGG
rnacentral:rRNA from 1 species